GGUCGGUUAGAUCAGUUGGUUAGAUCGUUGUGCUAAUACCCCGUGGUAACACGUUUGGAACACACAAAGGUCAUGAGUUCAAGCCUCAUACUGACCA